AUCCCAAAUUCACAGCCGCCUUCUUUCGCCCGGUUCUCGGGAUCGCACUUUUCCCUCUUGGGACGAUGCCGCCUCCUCAACCUUGAAAGACCCCUCACAGGCCCCUUCCGAGACCCUCAGAGUCCCUAAAAGGGCUGCUGACACGCCCGCUGUUCUUAGCGGACAGUGAUUGGCCACCUGAAAGAUAGCGCCAGCCUCCUGCCCCUUCUCCCGACCCUGGCCUUCCGCAGUCCUUGUUUCCCAUUAGCCUGCCGGCCCGCCUGUCCGGUGCUGACCUGGUCUGAUUGGUAGGGUGCCUCCAACCUGCCGCAUUCCUGCCCCGCCCACCUCUAGCUCUAUUUCAAUUGGAUUUAGGACACGCCCAUCUACUAUGCCUUCAUCUGUAUUGGCUAUUUCAACUUAAAGCUCUGCCUCCUCAGACCUGUUCGACCUUCCUUCGGAACCACCCCGGCCUCAGAACUCCCAUUGGUUGCUGGGUCCUCUGUGUCUUCUUGCCCCUCCUGCUUGAUUUAACCCAGUCUCUUCUGCCUCCCUCCGACAACCUUUUUCCCAUCUGUAGCCUUAAAUUCCCGAGCUGCCCGGGCGGAUCGUAGUGUUGAUUGGAGGGAUGAGAAUACCCGCCGGGUCCGAUUGGCCACUGUCUCCGCCUGCGUUCUCGGAGUAGCUUCCCUGCGGGUGGGCUGGAGUCCCGCGGCCGGCGUAGGGCACGGCCCGGCAGGGCGGUGGGAACUUCCCCCGGGCUGCUCUUAUUGCGGCUUGGGAUGAUCCUGGCGGAACACAGGACCCCAACUCCCAAACCUGCGGACCUUGACCACGGACUAGCCCUGUCCCGGCUCCCCACGUGCCCCAGGGGGACCAGGGCAGGCAGGACGCCUUCCAAGAAUUCAAGGGCCGCUGGAUGCCUACGCUUCGUCCCCUUAUUUCCUGAACAACCGUUAGGGGCCGGGGUACCCCUCAGGGAGGCCACAGUCCGGGGCUGGGGCGCUCAUUGAGGUAGUGAUCACACGGAAGUUUAAUAACCAACUUGAUAAGUGCUCUGAGAGAAAAAUAACAGUGAGAGCGGCCACCUGAGGUUCUCCCCCAAUCUGCAGUGAGCCGAGAUCAGAACAGGUAAUUCCGUAAAUGAGAGAGAGAAGCAAAGCGUUACAGGCAGAAGAGUCUACUUGAAAUCUCUGAGGAAGGAGGAAGCAUGAUGGGAAUGGGGAACUGGAAUUCUUUAAUGCUCCGAUGACUGUCUAAGUGGGGGAUCACCCGGCAUUGACAGACUAGGAAGCUUAAGUGAGUCACUCGCCUGAGGUCACAUGGUUAGUUUGAUGCAGAGAAGACUCGAAAACCAGUUAAAGAACAGUCAGUGGGGCCCGGCCUUGUAGCUCACACCUGUAAUACCACCACUUUGGGAGGCCGCGGCGGACGGAUCGCCUGAGCCCAGGAGUUCAAGACCAGUCUGGGCAACAUGGAGAAACCCCGUCUCUACAAAAAAUAGAAAAAUUGGCCGGGCGCUGUGGCUCACGCCUGUAAUCCCAAAACUUGGGGAGGCCAAGGCGGGCGGAUCACGAGAUCAAGAGAUCGAGACCAUCCUGGCCAACAUGGUGAAACCCCGUCUCUACUAAAAAUACGAAAAUUAGCUGGGCAUGGUGGUGCGUGCCUGUAGUCCCAGCUACUCAGGAGGCUGAGGCAGGAGAAUCGGUUGAACCCGGGAGGCGGAGGUUGCAGUGAGCCGAGAUCGCGCCACUGCACUCCAGCCUGGCGACAGAGCGAGACUCCGUCUCAUAAAUAAAUACAUAAAUAAAUAAA